UGCUCUGUGAUUUUUGCCUUGAUAGGCAUAUACGCUAUUCUGAUUCAUAUCAUGAAUGGAUAAGUUUUGAAAGCUGAGAGCU